rnacentral:lncRNA from 1 species
ACUAAAGCAUCAUUCAGUGAAGAAAUUACAUCUUGCAUUAAUACGGCAACAAGGGAUACAACACAUGGAUUCGUUGCCAGUAUGGGUCGUUCCUCUGGCGGCAGACUUGUAGUAGCCGGGACGAUGUCCUGGACCGAGUGGCUACUUCCAUCGGUCGCAGGCUUCAAGCUUAGCCCUCCACGCUCCACGCUAGAGGAUUUCCUACAAAAGACAAGUUGUC